GAAAAUUACAAGCAUAAGCUCAAAACUCAAAGGACUUGGCGGCGUUUUAGAUCCAUCUAGAGGAGCCUGUCCUAUAAUCGAUAACCCCCGUUAAACCUUACCUUUUUUCGCAUUCAGCCUAUAUACCGCCGUCGUCAGCUCACCUUUUGAAAGCCUCAUUAGUAAGCAAGAUUGGUUAAGCCCAAUACGUCAGGUCAAGGUGUAGCACAUAAGAAGUGAAGAGAUGGGCUACAUUUCCUCCCCAGGGCUUCCCGGAAAAUGUUUUGAAACAAACAUAUUGAAGAAGGAUUUAGCAGUAAGUAAAAACCAGGAAGUUUU
rnacentral:rRNA from 1 species